UUGAAGACUAUAAAUACAAUCUCUUCCUUUACAACCAUCACUAUUCAUUCACAGACUCAAGCAUCAAAACCAGAAGAACCGUGGCCAUCCAAAACAAAAAACAAAAUUUUAUAGGUGACAUGACCAAAACACCCUUAUUAAAAAUAAGAAAUUACAAUAAUACCUUAGACCUAAUUCAGUUUUCUUCCUCUCUCUCCCUCAUCUGUUUAGAUUGACUAGUUGAGACAAUUUUGUAUAGCAGAAAUUUCUGUCGUCCAUUUUGAUGUUUCCUAUUAAGUGGAAAUCUGAAAUGAGAACCUAACAUCAAUGAAACCAUACUCUUGUGAAUUGAUCUAUUAUUUUUUGUUUCAUUUCAAAUUCUUUCAUUGCAUGCAUAAACACAAGCAUUGCAAUAAAUAAUAGUAAUAAUAAUGAUAUAUACAAAUAAAGUCUAUCUUUAACCUAUAAGGAUUUUCAACUUGAUUGGCACACAAAGUCAGUAGAAGUGAAAUCCAGAUGUUAAUAUGAAAAGUUCAUCCACCGUCCACGACCCCUACUAAUGGAUAAACUUAUAUAAACUUUGUUAUCCUACAGUUAACUGCACAAAUUGAAAUGAAAAUGGCAAAAGGAAUAUAUACCAAUAAUUGAUCAAAGAAUUUUAAAAAAAAUUGGUAUGCAAAGGCAUUACUAUGAGAACUGUAACCCCAGCUAAGCUGACACCACAACCAUCAACAAUUUCAGUCCAAUUUGAGUUGUGUUGAAAACCAUCUACAGGUUGCAUUUAUUCAACAAUUUCUUAAUCCUGCUUGGAUUGUAGCCAGAAUGAAAAUAUGAAACAUAUUGGACGGAGUAUUUUUACAAACCAAGUAUUCUAUAUUUAAUGGCCUGAUAAGUCAUUCAACCAACUCUAAAUAGUUUCUUAACUGUCAUGUAUAGUCUAAGCUCACAAACUUAUAUGCCUUAUACUCCUAUCAAUAACAAAGUUCAUUUAAACAUUCCAACUCCCAUGAAAUUCAAUUAUCAACUUCCAUACACACAAACCUUUUAAAACUUGUAAUAAUUAUGAAGGAUAUGUUACUAGUUGUACCUUAUACGUAAAUGAAGGUCAAAUUNNN
rnacentral:lncRNA from 1 species